GUCGAGCGAGAAAGGGAACUUCGGUUCCUGAGUAAAGCGGCGGACGGGUGAGUAACACGUGGGUAAUCUGCCCUCGGGUGGGGAAUAACUCAGGGAAACCUGGGCUAAUUCCGCAUGACACUUUCGAUACAUAUGUAUUGAGAAUCAAAGCUGGGGACCCUUCGGGGCCUGGCGCCUGAGGAGGAGCCCGCGGCCAAUUAGCUUGAUGGUGGGGUAACGGCUCACCAUGGCUACGAUUGGUAGCCGGCCUGAGAGGGCGUACGGUCACACUGGGACUGAGACACGGCCCAGACUCCUACGGGAGGCAGCAGUGGGGAAUUUUUGUCAAUGGGGGAAACCCUGAACAAGCAACGCCGCGUGAAGGACGAAGACCUUCGGGUUGUAAACUUCUGUCGGAGGGGACGAAAGCUUUCGUGGUUAAUACCCAUGAUUGUUGACGGUACCCUAUGAGGAAGCCCCGGCUAACUCCGUGCCAGCAGCCGCGGUAAUACGGGGGGGGCAAGCGUUGUUCGGAAUUACUGGGCGUAAAGGGCGCGCAGGCGGGCGGGAAAGUCUCUCGUGAAAGCCCACGGCUCAACCGUGGAAUUGCGGGAGAUACUACUCGUCUUGAGUCC
rnacentral:rRNA from 1 species